AACGAGGCCGACCUGCGGCUGAGUUACCUGCGGAGGGAUCAUUACAGAGAUUGAUGCACCAAGUGCAUCACCUCCAACCCCUUGCGAAAACAACUAUCAUGUGUUGCUUUGGCAGUGUUUCCACUGCCAGAGGUGUACAUAAAAUCAGCUGUUGGAUGUUGUCUGAGUAAACUAUAUGAAUUAUUUAAAACUUUCAACAACGGAUCU
rnacentral:misc_RNA from 1 species